UCCCUGGAGGACUAGUGGUUAGGCCACAGUGCUCUCAUGGCUGUGGCUUGGGUUCGAUUCCCGGCCAGGGAA
rnacentral:tRNA from 1 species